GGUUAAGUUAACAAGGGCGCAUGGUGAAUGCCUUGGCACUAGGAGCCGAUAAAGGACGGGACUAACACCGAUAUGCUUCGGGGAGCUGUACGUAAGCUAUGAUCCGGAGAUUUCCGAAUGGGGCAACCCAGCAGUUUUAAUCAACUGUUACCACUAGAUGAAUUCAUAGUCUAGUUGGAGGUAAACGCUGUGAACUGAAACAUCUCAUUAGCAGCAGGAAUAUAAAGAAAUUUCGAUUCCCUAAGUAGCGGCGAGCGAACGGGGAACAGCCCAAACCAAAGUGCUUGCACUUUGGGGUUGUAGGACUGAACAUUUGAGUUACCAAAGAACUUGAUAGUCGAAGGAUUUGGGAAAAUCCGCCAUAGAUGGUGAUAGCCCAGUAGAUUAAAUCAAAUUCUCUCAGUUCAGGAUCCUGAGUACGGCGGAACACGUGAAAUUCCGUUGGAAUCCGGGAGGACCAUCUCCCAAGGCUAAAUACUACCUAGUGACCGAUAGUGAACCAGUACCGUGAGGGAAAGGUGAAAAGCACCCCGGGAGGGGAGUGAAAUAGUUCCUGAAACCAUGUGCCUACAAUAAGUCAGAGCGCGUUAAUGCGUGAUGGCGUGCCUUUUGUAGAAUGAACCGGCGAGUUAUGAUCCCGUGCAAGGUUAAGACUAAAAAGUCGGAGCCGUAGCGAAAGCGAGUCUGAAAUGGGCGAUUUGAGUACGAGGUUAUAGACCCGAAACCAGGUGACCUAUCCAUGUCCAGGUUGAAGGUGCGGUAAAACGCACUGGAGGACCGAACCCGUGUAAGUUGAAAAUUGCUGGGAUGAGGUGUGGAUAGCGGUGAAAUUCCAAACGAACUUGGAGAUAGCUGGUUCUCUCCGAAAUAGCUUUAGGGCUAGCCUCGGAUUAAGGAUCAUGGAGGUAGAGCACUAUUUGGACUAGGGGCCCGUCUUGGGUUACUGAAUUCAGAUAAACUCCGAAUGCCAUUGAUUCAUGUCCGGGAGUCAGACGAUGAGUGAUAAGAUCCACCGUCGAAAGGGGAACAGCCCAGACCAUCAGUUAAGGUCCCUAAAUGUAUGCUAAGUGGAAAAGGAUGUGGAGUUGCAUAGACAACUAGGAUGUUGGCUCAGAAGCAGCCACCAUUUAAAGAGUGCGUAAUAGCUCACUAGUCGAGUGAUCCUGCGCCGAAAAUGUACCGGGGCUAAGCAUACUACCGAAACCAUGGAUGCGACCAUUAGGUCGCGUGAUAGGAGAGCGUUCUAAGGGCGGUGAAGCAAGAUCGUGAGGACUUGUGGAGCGCUUAGAAGUGAGAAUGCCGGUAUGAGUAGCGAAAGAUAGGUGAGAAUCCUAUCCACCGAAUGACUAAGGUUUCCUGGGGAAGGCUCGUCCUCCCAGGGUUAGUCGGGACCUAAGUCGAGGCCGAGAGGCGUAGACGAUGGAUAACAGGUUGAGAUUCCUGUACUAGUUAAGUGCGUUUGAGCAAUGGAGGGACGCAGGAGGCUAAGAUGUGCAUUCUGUUGGAUUAGAAUGUCCAAGCAGUAAGUCUUGUGGAGAGUCAAAUGCUUUUCACUUUAAGGACAAGCUGUGAUGGGGAGCGAAAUUUAGUAGCGAAGCGUCUGAUGUCACACUGCCGAGAAAAGCUUCUAGUGAGUACUUAACUACCCGUACCGCAAACCGACACAGGUAGUCGAGGAGAGAAUCCUAAGGUGAGCGAGUGAACUCUCGUUAAGGAACUCGGCAAAAUGACCCCGUAACUUCGGGAGAAGGGGUGCUGAUCGCAAGAUUAGCCGCAGUGAAUAGGCCCAGGCGACUGUUUAUCAAAAACACAGGUCUCUGCAAAAUCGUAAGAUGACGUAUAGGGGCUGACGCCUGCCCGGUGCUGGAAGGUUAAAAGGAUGGGUUAGCUUCGGCGAAGCUCAGAAUUGAAGCCCCAGUAAACGGCGGCCGUAACUAUAACGGUCCUAAGGUAGCGAAAUUCCUUGUCGGGUAAGUUCCGACCCGCACGAAAGGCGUAACGAUCUGGGCACUGUCUCAACGAGAGACUCGGUGAAAUUAUAUUGUCCGUGAAGAUGCGGACUACCCGCGACAGGACGGAAAGACCCCAUGGAGCUUUACUGUAGCUUGAUAUUGAGUGUUUGUACAGCUUGUACAGGAUAGGUAGGAGCCAUAGAAACCGGAACGCUAGUUUCGGUGGAGGCGUUGGUGGGAUACUACCCUCGCUGUAUGACCACUCUAACCCGCACCACUAAUCGUGGUGGGAGACAGUGUCAGGUGGGCAGUUUGACUGGGGCGGUCGCCUCCUAAAAAGUAACGGAGGCGCCCAAAGGUUCCCUCAGAAUGGUUGGAAAUCAUUCGCAGAGUGUAAAGGCACAAGGGAGCUUGACUGCGAGACAGACAGGUCGAGCAGGGACGAAAGUCGGGCUUAGUGAUCCGGUGGUACCGUAUGGAAGGGCCAUCGCUCAACGGAUAAAAGCUACCCUGGGGAUAACAGGCUUAUCUCCCCCAAGAGUCCACAUCGACGGGGAGGUUUGGCACCUCGAUGUCGGCUCAUCGCAUCCUGGGGCUGUAGUCGGUCCCAAGGGUUGGGCUGUUCGCCCAUUAAAGCGGUACGCGAGCUGGGUUCAGAACGUCGUGAGACAGUUCGGUCCCUAUCCGUCGCGGGCGUAGGAAAUUUGAGAGGACCUGUCCUUAGUACGAGAGGACCGGGAUGGACAUACCUCUGGUGUACCAGUUGUGCCGCCAGGCGCAUCGCUGGGUAGCUACGUAUGGAUGUGAUAAACGCUGAAAGCAUCUAAGUGUGAAACACACCUCGAGAUGAGAUUUCCUAUUCCUUUAUGGAAGUAAGACCCCUGAAAGAUGAUCAGGUAGAUAGGUUAGAAGUGGCAGUGCGGUGACGCAUGAAGCGGACUAAUACUAAUCGGUCGAGGACUUAACCAA
rnacentral:rRNA from 1 species